rnacentral:rRNA from 1 species
UACGUAGGGUGCAAGCGUUGUCCGGAAUUAUUGGGCGUAAAGAGCUCGUAGGCGGUUUGUUGCGUCGGCUGUGAAAUCCCGAGGCUCAACCUCGGGUCUGCAGUCGAUACGAGCAAACUAGAGUGUUGCAGGGGAGACUGGAAUUCCUGGUGUAGCGGUGAAAUGCGCAGAUAUCGGGAGGAACACCUGUGGCGAAAGCGGCUCACUGGACAGCAACUGACGCUGAUGCGCGAAAGCUAGGGGAGCAAACAGG